CAAUCCUUAUUUUAGUUGCCUUCCUUAGUUGGGCCUUUUAAGGUGAUUGCGGUGACAAACCGGAGGGAAGGUUGGGAAGAAGUCAAAUCAUCCUGCCCCUUAGGGCCUUGGUUUCACACGUGGUACAAUGGGCGGUACAAAGAGGUGCAAAUCCCCGAGGUGGCGGUAUCUCCUAAAACCGUUUUCAGUUCCGAUUUUAGGGGGCAACUUGCCUACCAGAAGCUCGAAUCGCUUGUAAUCGUGAUCAGCAUUCCGCGGUGAAUCCGUUUCCGGGCCUUAUACACACCGCCCGUCACACCACGAGAGUUUGUAACCACUGAAGUGGGUGAGGUAACCUUUUAGGAGCCAGCCGCCUAAGGUGGGACAGAUGAUGGGGGAAAGUUGUAACCAAGGGGGUA
rnacentral:rRNA from 1 species